GCCACCUAGGGAAAACAUGCAAACUCCAAUCGGGAAAGCCUGAAAUUCAAACCCAGAACCUCGAACUGUGAGGCAGAUAUGCUACCACCGUUCUAUGUAGGGGGAAAAAGUGAGCCUACAUUUGCCAAAUGAGGUGACACCAUUGUUUUAAUAUUGUGUGGAUGGAAGACUGGGCAUGAUCUGAAAGCCGAAGCAUUUCUAAUCAUUCCCAUGUGCGGCGUAUACAUAAACACAAGCAAAAGGGCUCUGUUAUUGUUAUUGAUGCCGCCACCGCAACUUUUUUUUUUUUAACCAUGAGGCUUCCAUCGCGGAGGACUCUGGCGAGCUGUGAGGCGACGGCUCUUUGAAAAGCAAAAAGAGAGACAGAGGGGAGAGGAGAGGAGAGGAGAGGAGGGAAUCACAGGACGACCACACAGCAAGUGGUUACCCUUAUCCUCAAAAUGCCACGGACGCAAUAGACGCUUUCAAGUCCAAAAGGUCUCUUUGGGUAAUUGAGAAGUUGGCCGGUGACGCGCUCCCGAGAUCCUUGGAGCUCACACUUUGGUCUUUCCCAUUGAAGAUUAGCCAAAAGUCCUAAUUAAGUAGCAGCUCACCAACGCGACUGGCGAGAUGCCCGAACCGAAAGCGAGUGAGACGUUUGCAAAGCCUUCUUAACAGCCCCCCUCGAUCGUCUUUGGCCUCGGUGUAUCAUCUUCAUCCUCUUUAUUUUUUUAGGAUUGACAAACGGGGGAUCUCAGGAGCAGCCACUUGUAGGGCGGAUGGGAAACUUGCCUUUAAAGACGACAAAGGCAUUCUUCCAUUAAAAGUUCUCCAGGUCCAGGUGAUGUAGCAGUUUUCUCAACAUGGAUACACAGACCUCCCCAUCAGCCGCUACCUGCUCUACUUCCUCUGGGAGGACAGGGCAGUUUCCAGAUUACGUCACUCCAGGAGAUCCUCCGUGUGCUCACAGCCUGCUUUUCCACGCCAGAGGCUGCUGAGCCACCAACACUUCACGCUGAUUGCUACCAUGUGACCAAAGCGGGGAUAAAUAACAGGCCGACUCCCACAAAACAGAAGGUAUCCUGAAAGGCUAGUUGGUGGAGUUCAAUUCGUACCCUUUCCAAAACCGAAGACCCAGUACGAAAAAUGUCUUUGAUGGAUCAAACUUUGCGGAAGACCGCAUGAUCAACUGAAUCCAUCAACCGGAACAGAUAUGUUUGCACGAAGAAUGAGUGACUCCAUGUUAAUUGUGUUUACAAAGAGCCCCAACUGCAUAGUACACGAGCGUUGUGAUUACGACAAUGUUAUUAUACUCACUCCGUGUUCCCGGGCAGCCACGGUGACCCGAUACAAGCCAUGACGCCAUUCCAAAUGGACCUGUGACGUGUGGAUCCGCCAGCCACCACCCGGACUUUGGCGUGCCGGAAGCGCCCGACGAUGGCCGCCAUCAGGUCUGUGUUUUCCUUGGCCACGACAACCACAAUG